rnacentral:rRNA from 1 species
CCUACGGGAGGCAGCAGUGGGGAAUAUUGGACAAUGGGCGAAAGCCUGAUCCAGCAAUGCCGCGUGAGUGAUGAAGGCCUUAGGGUUGUAAAGCUCUUUUACCCGGGAUGAUAAUGACAGUACCGGGAGAAUAAGCUCCGGCUAACUCCGUGCCAGCUGCCGCGGUAAUACGGAGGGAGCUAGCGUUAUUCGGAAUUACUGGGCGUAAAGCGCACGUAGGCGGCUUUGUAAGUAAGAGGUGAAAGCCCAGAGCUCAACUCUGGAAUUGCCUUUUAGACUGCAUCGCUUGAAUCAUGGAGAGGUCAGUGGAAUUCCGAGUGUAGAGGUGUAAUUCGUAGAUAUUCGGAAGAACACCAGUGGCGAAGGCGGCUGAUUGGACAUGUAUUGACGCUGAGGUGCGAAAGCGUGGGGAGCAAACAGGAUUAGAUACCCUUGUAGUC